CUCUGCAAGUCCGAUACCAGCCAAGUGUUUGCAGCCUCCUGCCCUGCUGAUCACCAGAGACUGCAGCAGAGCAGGCAGCGGGGUGUGCUGGGCACUGCCAUCCCUGUGCCCCAGAAAUGCAGCAUUUGAGUGCUCCCUGUGAUUCUGAGUCACUGUCACUCCGCGUUCCCAGGGUUCAGUGAUGCUGCAGGAGCUGCCAGCUCGGUUGGAGACUCGGAAAUAUCCCCAGUUUGAAGUGAAGCACAUUUUCAGAUUAUGCCCCACUGGCAAGGGAUCUUGGGAAAGAACUGUGAUGCUUUUGUUCACUGGACAAAACCUGAUUCAUCCCUUUCUUUACAUCACCACACAGCUCUCCAGCUUCCCAACACAGAGAUUGCUCUGGCUUUCCUUUAGGUAUGUUGAAAAUCACAGCAGCUGUUGAUGUGUUUGGAGUGAGCACUGUCCAGCAUUAUGAGAGGCAUAAAGAUAUAUGUAAUCAAAGGAGAGAUUUAAUUAUCAGUGAUACUGCAGGAAUGGCUUCCUGAAAAGAGUAAAAACAAAUAGGAAAUUGAGAAACCAGAUGAAUUCUGCUCUGAAAAGCAGCAGGAAUGAGAGGAAAAAUUAGGAGAUGAUAAGAAGCUAAGUGAUGGCAAGAAAUUUAGGAAGUAGGGUCACAGAUAGUGAAAACCAGGAAUUUUUGAGAUGGGAUUCUAGAGUGAGAGUAGUUAAAUCUGAGAUAGAUGCACUGACUCUGUUGACAUUGCCCAGUAAUGCUCCCAGUUUCUGGGUAUGGGUUUCUGCAGGAAUUAAACUUUAAUUAAAGUAUAUUUGUUCCUUUGUUUAGUGAAUGGGAUGAAAUUGCAAGAAGGGAACACAAAGGCUUUGGGGACUGCUGCCAGCAGUAUUAUACACGAGGUACCAAAUUAGCUUUCACAGACAAUCUUAAUUUUUGCAUUGAUUAACUUUUUGUCCAAUAACCUACUCAUUAAGACAUUCCUUUGCUUUUGCAUAUGUAUGUAUGAAUAUUUUUUGAAACAGUGGUUUAUAAAAAGCUUCAAAUAAAACUGCCUAUGUUAUUGUCCA